rnacentral:rRNA from 1 species
UAUUAACUCUGGCGGCGUGCAUAACACAUGCAAGUCGAACGAUGAAACUUAGUAGACUUCUUCGGAAAGACACUAAGCGGCUUAGUGGCGAACGGGUGAGUAACGCGUGAGUAACCUGCCUUACACAAGGGGAUAGCCUUUGGAAACGAAGAAUAAUACCCUAUAAAACCAUAAAAGCACAUGCUAGAAUGGUCAAAGUGAUAGCGGUGUAAGAUGGACUUGCGUCUGAUUAGCUAGUUGGUGAGAUAAAAGCUCACCAAGGCAACGAUCAGUAGCCGGCUUGAGAGAGUGUACGGCCACAUUGGGACUGAGACACGGCCCAGACUCCUACGGGAGGCAGCAGUGGGGAAUUUUGCACAAUGGGGGAAACCCUGAUGCAGCGACGCCGCGUGAUUUAGAAGGCCUUCGGGUUGUAAAAAUCUUUUGUAUAGGAAGAAAAUGACAGUACUAUACGAAUAAGGUCCGGCUAAUUACGUG